rnacentral:rRNA from 1 species
UACAGAGGUGGCAAGCGUUGUUCGGAAUUACUGGGCGUAAAGGGCGCGUAGGCGGUUCGUUAAGUCCUGUGUGAAAUCCCCCGGCUCAACUGGGGAACUGCACAGGAAACUAGCGGGCUUGAGUUCGGGAGAGGGAAGCGGAAUUCCAGGUGUAGCGGUGAAAUGCGUAGAUAUCUGGAGGAACACCGGUGGCGAAGGCGGCAUCCUGGACCGAGAUUGACGCUGAGGCGCGAAAGCCAGGGGAGCAAACGGG